GCUACUUUUUUGUUCUUCUUUGAUAAAAUGUUGGUAUUUGUUUAAGGGAAUGACAUGGAUUCUUCAAAAGGAGUUCUUUCAGGAACUAUGGACAAAUUCAAAAUGGUCUUUGAGAAAAAAUCCAGCCGAAGAACGUUUUCACUUAUA